AAAAGCAUGCCAUAUCUUCCCUUAGGAAUGUGUUUAUUGGUUGAAAUGUUUCAUCUGAUACCAUUUUUUACUGGCCACAUGAUUAGGAUCAGAGUCAAGAACACAACUGUGCAGAUCUCAACCACUGGGACCAUUGCUGUGCACUGAGAUAACCAAAAAAGAGCUUGAAGAGAUUUUUGACUGAAAUCAG